AGGUUACUGCUAUCGGUGUUCGCCUAAGCCAUGCGAGUCAUAUGUUCUUCGUGAACAUGGCGUAUUGCUCAGUAACACGUGGAUAACCUGCCCUUGGGUCCGGCAUAACCCCGGGAAACUGGGGAUAAUUCCGGAUAACGCACAUAUGCCGGAAUGCUUUAUGCGUCAAAUGGAUUCAUCCGCCCAAGGAUGGGUCUGCGGCCUAUCAGGUAGUAGUGGGUGUAAUGUACCUACUAGCCUACGACGGGUACGGGUUGUGAGAGCAAGAGCCCGGAGAUGGAUUCUGAGACAUGAAUCCAGGCCCUACGGGGCGCAGCAGGCGCGAAAACUUUACAAUGCGGGAAACCGUGAUAAGGGGACACCGAGUGCCAGCAUCAUAUGCUGGCUGUCCAGGUGUGUAAAAUACACCUGUUAGCAAGGGCCGGGCAAGACCGGUGCCAGCCGCCGCGGUAACACCGGCGGCCCGAGUGGUGAUCGUGAUUAUUGGGUCUAAAGGGUCCGUAGCCGGUUUGGUCAGUCCUCCGGGAAAUCUGACGGCUUAACCGUUAGGCUUUCGGGGGAUACUGCCAGACUUGGAACCGGGAGAGGUAAGAGGUACUACAGGGGUAGGAGUGAAAUCUUGUAAUCCCUGUGGGACCACCUGUGGCGAAGGCGUCUUACCAGAACGGGUUCGACGGUGAGGGACGAAAGCUGGGGGCACGAACCGGAUUAGAUACCCGGGUAGUCCCAGCCGUAAACGAUGCUCGCUAGGUGUCAGGCAUGGCGCGACCGUGUCUGGUGCCGCAGGGAAGCCGUGAAGCGAGCCACCUGGGAAGUACGGCCGCAAGGCUGAAACUUAA
rnacentral:rRNA from 1 species